UCAAGGGGGUGUGCAGGGGCCACAGUG
rnacentral:piRNA from 1 species